rnacentral:rRNA from 1 species
UACGAAGGGGGCUAGCGUUGUUCGGAAUUACUGGGCGUAAAGCGCACGUAGGCGGACAUUUAAGUCAGGGGUGAAAUCCCGGAGCUCAAACUCCGGAACUGCCUUUGAUACUGGGUGUCUUGAGUGUGGAAGAGGUGAGUGGAAUUCCGAGUGUAGAGGUGAAAUUCGUAGAUAGUUCGGAGGAACACCAGUGGCGAAGGCGGCUCACUGGUCCAUUACUGACGCUGAGGUGCGAAAGCGUGGGGAGCAAACAGG